rnacentral:rRNA from 1 species
ACGCGAAGAACCUUACCCANGGCUUGACAUGCAGUGGACAGCUCCAGAAAUGGAGACUUCCUUCGGGACCGCUGCACAGGUGCUGCAUGGCUGUCGUCAGCUCGUGCCGUGAGGUGUUGGGUUAAGUCCCGCAACGAGCGCAACCCUUAUCGUUAGUUGCCAACAUUUUAGGUGGGAACUCUAGCGAGACUGCCCGGGUUAACCGGGAGGAAGGUGAGGAUGACGUCAAGUCCGCAUGGCCCUUAUGUCUGGGGCUACACACGUGCUACAAUGGUCGGUACAGAAGGCAGCGAAACCGCGAGGCGGAGCAAAUCCCAAAAACCGGCCCCAGUUCAGAUUGUAGUCUGCAACUCGACUACAUGAAGAUGGAAUUGCUAGUAAUGGCGAGUCAGCUACAUCGCCGUGAAUACGUUCUAGGGUCUUGUACACACCG